CACGUUUUCAAGAUAUCCGGCACGAUCUUGUGUUUUGCAAAGCAAACAGCGGCCUCGGACAUUUUUGCAGAUAGCCAAUAAUUCGGGUUCCACAGUAUCUGUAGCUAGGAAUACAAGAAUCUCACCCCUAAAAUUCUCGAAAAAGUU